rnacentral:rRNA from 1 species
GAUGAACGCUGGCGGCGUGCUUAACACAUGCAAGUCGAACGGGAAUUACUUUAUUGAAACUUCGGUCGAUUUAAUUUAAUUCUAGUGGCGGACGGGUGAGUAACGCGUGGGUAACCUGCCUUAUACAGGGGGAUAACAGUCAGAAAUGGCUGCUAAUACCGCAUAAGCGCACAGAGCUGCAUGGCUCAGUGUGAAAAACUCCGGUGGUAUAAGAUGGACCCGCGUUGGAUUAGCUAGUUGGUGGGGUAACGGCCCACCAAGGCGACGAUCCAUAGCCGGCCUGAGAGGGUGAACGGCCACAUUGGGACUGAGACACGGCCCAGACUCCUACGGGAGGCAGCAGUGGGGAAUAUUGCACAAUGGGGGAAACCCUGAUGCAGCGACGCCGCGUGAAGGAAGAAGUAUCUCGGUAUGUAAACUUCUAUCAGCAGGGAAGAUAGUGACGGUAC